rnacentral:rRNA from 1 species
UACGAAGGGUGCAAGCGUUACUCGGAAUUACUGGGCGUAAAGCGUGCGUAGGUGGUGAGUUAAGUCUGUCGUGAAAGCCCCGGGCUCAACCUGGGAAUGGCGAUGGAUACUGGCUCGCUAGAGUGCGGUAGAGGAGAGUGGAAUUCCCGGUGUAGCAGUGAUAUGCGUAGAGAUCGGGAGGAACAUCAGUUGCGAAGGCGGCUCUCUGGACCAGCACUGACACUGAGGCACGAAAGCGUGGGGAGCAAACAGG